AACAUAGGAAAAUUGUUUAAAUUGUAAGUCAAUAUUUAAUUAUUUGAAGAGUGUAUUUUUAAAUUCGUUUAAACUUAACGUAAUUUUAGAUUCCGUACAAAUACGGUUUAUAUAAUAUCUCCGUAAUGUAACGGUCCGUUCUAUUAAUUACCAUGAUUUUACAUGCGUCCCAGAAAAAAAGAAAAGAAAAGAAAAAUAAAUUUAUUUUACAAAAAACUUAACAACUCAAAGAAGUCUUCUUUUAAUAAAGAUUUAUGUUAUGCUUAAUUCAAUUAAUUCAAUCGCCUAAAGUUAAAUACGUAUAAAGCUUAACUUGUAACUAAUUAUUUAUCAUCGUGUAUCUAUGUUUUAAAUUAAAUUUAUAUAUUAUAAACAAUGCAUAGAUGCACACAAUAUUACACACACUAUUUUAUUUUUUUGUUACGCUAUAUUUUAAUAUGCUGGCUUAAAUAUAAGUUGUCGAUUUCCCCAAAAUAAAAUAUUUUGUUUACUUGUAACUAAGAGACUAAAUUAUAUAAAGAUUUCACAAUUUAUAUUUGCAUUCAUAUCCUGUUAGACAAAAAAUUUCGUCAGUACUAUUUUGAACGUUCAACCGUAGACAUCUGCAGUAUAAAAUAAAUUUAACUCGUCUAUAAUAUAAAAAAUAAAGAAUUCAUAAUUUAUAUUUGCAUUUCACAUUUGACGUGUUACUCAUAUAAUUUUGAUAGUUAAAUUUAAAUCGAAUAUUUAAUUCGAGUAUCUACUCUUCUUUUGGCAUUUAUCACUUCUCAUCUAACCGUAAGCAAUAUUGAACAAUUGUUUAAAUUGUGCUAUUUCAAUAGUGCUUGAUUUAUUCAAAAUGAAUUUUUUUCAAAAAGUAAAGACAUGGUCUUCAGCUUCAUAUUCGUUUAUUCAACGGCUACUAGGAAUCCUGUGUUUAUUCAUUCUGGACAACAAACACAUGACGAUGAUAUAUAUCUCGACCAACGUCUGGCUGCUAUACGUGGCACGUCUGAUCGCUGGAUCUGUCAUAUUUAUUUUUGCGUCGUCUCUACUGGCACAAAGGGCCGGUCGGCGAGAACGUUAUCAAAUACUACUUGAGGCGUCCCGGGGUUAUGAGCUCGCGGAGGUCGAAGCCCUUAAACUUCGUUUCGACGCCAUUUUUCCACCGUUGGG